GUCACCUACGGGGGGCAGCAGUGAGGAAUAUUGGUCAAUGGACGGAGGUCAGAACCAGCCAUGCCGCGUGCAGGAAGACGGCUCUAUGAGUUGUACACUGCUUUUGUACAAGGGUAAACCUGAAUACGGGUAUUCAGCUGAAAGUACUGUACGAAUAAGGAUCGGCUAACUCCGUGCCAGCAGCCGCGGUAAUACGGAGGAUCCAAGCGUUAUCCGGAUUUAUUGUGUUUAAAGGGUGUGUAGGCGGAUUGAUAAGUUAGAGGUGAAAUGUCCG
rnacentral:rRNA from 1 species